ACGCUAAGUGGAAAACGAUGUGGAGUUGCGAAAACAACCAGGAUGUUGGCUUAGAAGCAGCCACUCAUUAAAAGAGUGCGUAAUAGCUCACUGGUCGAGUGACUCUGCGCGGAAAAUAUAACGGGGCUAAGCGUAACACCGAAGCUUGGGCUGCACAGCAAUGUGCGGGGUAGGGGAGCGUCGUGUACGGGGUGAAGUCGCAGCGGAAGCAGCGGUGGACUUUACACGAGUGAGAAUGCCGGAAUGAGUAGCGAGAAUUAUGUGGGAAUCAUAAUGGCCGAAAAUCUAAGGUUUCCUGGGGAAGGUUCGUCCGCCCAGGGUAAGCCGGGAGCUAAGGCGAGGCCGAAAGGCGUAGUCGAUGCACAUACGGUUGAAAUUCCGUAGCCACCGAACCUUAAGCACACUGACACAUGGAGAUAGCGGGACCCGGGCGUUGGUUGACCCGGGCGUAAGGGACCGAAAUCAAGUAGGGAAGUCCGCGAUGCUCUGUGGCGAGAAAAGGUGUGAGGAAUGCUAAGGUGCCCGUACCGCAAACCGACACAGGUAGAUGAGGAGAGAAUCCUAAGGCCAACGGGAGAAGGGUUGUUAAGGAACUCGGCAAAAUGACCCCGUAACUUCGGGAUAAGGGGAGCCUCCUACGGGAGGCCGCAGCGAAUAGGCCCAAGCGACUGUUUACCAAAAACACAGGUCUCUGCUAAAUCGAAAGAUGACGUAUAGGGGCUGACGCCUGCCCGGUGCUGGAAGGUUAAGAGGAGAGCUUAGCGCAAGCGAAGGUUUGAAUCGAAGCCCCAGUAAACGGCGGCCGUAACUAUAACGGUCCUAAGGUAGCGAAAUUCCUUGUCAGGUAAGUUCUGACCCGCACGAAUGGCGUAACGAUUUGGGCACUGUCUCAACAGCCCACCCGGCGAAAUUGUUGUACUGGUGAAGAAGCCAGUUACCCGCAACUAGACGGAAAGACCCCAUGGAGCUUUACUGUAGCUUAAUACUGGAAAUCGGUAAAUCAUGUACAGGAUAGGUGGGAGACUUGGAAGCCUGGGCGUCAGCUUAGGUGGAGUCACCCUUGGGAUACCACCCUUGAUUUGCUGGUUUUCUAACCUGCGGCCGUGAAUCCGGUCGGGGGACACUGUUAGGUGGGCAGUUUGACUGGGGCGGUCGCCUCCUAAAAGGUAACGGAGGCGCUCAAAGGUUCGUUCAGCACGGACGGAAACCGUGCAGUGAGUGUAAACGCAUAAACGAGCCUAACUGCGAGACCGACGGGUCGAGCAGUAACGAAAGUUGGAGUUAGUGAUCCGGCGGUAUGCAAGUGGAAGUGCCGUCGCUCAACGGAUAAAAGCUACCCUGGGGAUAACAGGCUGAUCUCCCCCAAGCGUCCACAGCGACGGGGAGGUUUGGCACCUCGAUGUCGGCUCGUCACAUCCUGGGGCUGAAUUCGGUCCCAAGGGUUCGGCUGUUCGCCGAUUAAAGUGGCACGCGAGCUGGGUUCAGAACGUCGUGAGACAGUUCGGUCCCUAUCUGUUGCGGGCGUAAGAGAUUUGAAGGGAGCUGUCCUUAGUACGAGAGGACCGGGAUGGACGUACCUCUGGUGCACCAGUUGUUCUGCCAAGGGCAUGGCUGGGUAGCUAUGUACGGACGAGAUAAACGCUGAAGGCAUCUAAGCGUGAAACUCCCCCUAAGAUUAGAUCUCUCAUCCUUCGGGAGUAAGGCACGUCGUAGACUAUGACGUUGAUAGGUCGGAGGUGGAAGCGCGGUAACGCAUGCAGCUGACCGAUACUAAUAAGCCGAGGGCUUGACCUUA
rnacentral:rRNA from 1 species